rnacentral:rRNA from 1 species
AAAGGAAUAGACGGGGGCCCGCACAAGCGGAGGAACAUGUGGUUUAAUUCGAUGAUACGCGAGGAACCUUACCCGGGCUUGAACUGCCAGUGAACGAUUCAGAGAUGAUGAGGCCCUUCGGGGCGCUGGUGGAGGUGCUGCAUGGUUGUCGUCAGCUCGUGCCGUGAGGUGUCGGCUUAAGUGCCAUAACGAGCGCAACCCCUUUCUUCAGUUGCCAUCAGGUGAUGCUGGGCACUCUGUAGAUACUGCCACCGUAAGGUGUGAGGAAGGUGGGGAUGACGUCAAAUCAGCACGGCCCUUACGUCCGGGGCUACACACGUGUUACAAUGGGGCAUACAGCGAGUCGGUCGUACGCAAGUGCGAUCCAAUCCUUAAAGUGCCUCCCAGUUCGGACUGGGGUCUGCAACCCGACCCCACGAAGCUGGAUUCGCUAGUAAUCGCGCAUCAGCCAUGGCGCGGUGAAUACGUUCCCGGGCCUUGUACACACCGCCCGU